rnacentral:lncRNA from 1 species
AUCUCUCCCAGCGAUAUAAGGUGUCUCUAUGGAUGAGCCGCCCACCCUAGUGCAGCUGAACGUGGAGUCCAGGCAUCGUUGUAACUCCUUGACCGAGGAUCAUGAAGCAUCUUCUUCUUAUGACGUUGGCAGCCGCCAUUUGUAAUGUCGACGCAGGCACCAAGAAGCUGAUGAGGAUGAUGGCUAUGAACGGGAUGAUGAACGGAGCUAACCCCGCCAUGAUGGGAGGAGGAGGCUUCGCUCCCGGUAUGAUGGGAGGAGGAGGCUUCGCUCCCGGUAUGAUGGGAGGAGGAGGCUUCGCUCCCGGUAUGAUGGGAGUAGGAGGCUUCGCUCCCGGGAUGGUGGGAGGAGGAGGCUUCGCUCCCGGGAUGGUGGGAGGAGGAGGCUUCGCUCCCGGUAUGAUGGGAGGAGGAGGCUUCGCUCCCGGUAUGAUGGGAGGAGCAGGUGCUGGUUUUGCUGGCCAGCCAGUGGCCCAGGUAGGUCCAUCAGAACCUGGUAUGGUUCUGCACCAAUCUCUUUCAGAAACAAGCCUUCCCCCAAACAGUGAUGGUCACAAAAAACUAUUU